GAAAGCGCGCUGCUAGAACGCGUCCGACCGUCAUGGUGAAAGCCUGGGUAGCGAACGGGAUUAGAUACCCCGGUAGUCCAGGCUGUAAACGAUGCCCGUUAAGUGUGGCACUAGCCAAGAGCUAGCGCCGUGCUGCAGCGAAAGCGUUAAACGGGCCGCUUGGGAAGUACGAUCGCAAGGUUGAAACUUAAAGGAAUUGACGGGGGAAUACCACAAGGGGUGAAGCCUGCGGUUUAAUUGGACUCAACGCCGGGAAACUUACCAGGGGCGAUAGCUGAAUGAAGGACAGACUGACGAUCUUUCCUGACUGGCUAAGAGGUAGUGCAUGGCCAUCGCCAGUUCGUGCCGCGAGGUGUCUUGUCAAGUCAAGCAACGAACGAAACCCGUGCCGCUAAUUGCAACCGUUGGCGUUAUGACGCUCCGGGCACAUUAGCGGGAUUGCCGCUGCUAAAGCGGAUGAAAGAACGGGCCACGGUAGGUCAGUAUGCUCCGAAUCCACCUGGGCCACACGCGGGCUGCAAAGGCAGGUACAAUGGGCUGCUACGUCGAGAGACGACGCUAAUCUCGAAAGCCUGUCUCAGUUGGGAUUGUGGGCUGCAACUCGCCCUCAUGAACUUGGAAUCCCUAGUAGUCGCAUGUCAUCAUCAUGCGGCGAAUGUGUCUCUAUUCCUUGCACACACCGCCCGU
rnacentral:rRNA from 1 species